rnacentral:rRNA from 1 species
CUGCUGAGAAAAGAUCAAUGGCAUGUAAAGCAGUCCAAGUGUGCAUUUGGCCAACAACAAAUCACUUAUUUGGGUCAUGUUAUCAAUGCUGAUGGUGUUUCCACGGAUCCCAGCAAGAUCGACACGAUUAAACAAUGGCCAAUUCCGGGGAGCGUGAAGGAAGUACGCAGUUUUCUGGGUUUAGCAGGCUACUACCGGAAGUUUGUGAAACAUUUCGGUAUUAUCGCACGCCCCCUUUUUAAUCUUCUCAAAAAGGGGCACCCGUUUGUCUGGACAGAAGAAACACAAACUGCUUUCCAUCUGCUCAAACAAGGCUUGAUAUCAGCUCCAGUGUUGCAGUUACCCGACUUCUCCAAACCAUUUGUGAUUGAUACUGACGCCUGUGAUUAUGGAGUCGGCGCUGUGCUGCAGCAGGGGGGCACCUGA